rnacentral:rRNA from 1 species
CUGUGAGCUCGAUGAGUAGGGCGGGACACGUGGUAUCCUGUCUGAAUAUGGGGGGACCAUCCUCCAAGGCUAAAUACUCCUGACUGACCGAUAGUGAACCAGUACCGUGAGGGAAAGGCGAAAAGAACCCCGGCGAGGGGAGUGAAAAAGAACCUGAAACCGUGUACGUACAAGCAGUGGGAGCCUCUUUAUGGGGUGACUGCGUACCUUUUGUAUAAUGGGUCAGCGACUUAUAUUCUGUAGCAAGGUUAACCGAAUAGGGGAGCCGAAGGGAAACCGAGUCUUAACUGGGCGUUAAGUUGCAGGGUAUAGACCCGAAACCCGGUGAUCUAGCCAUGGGCAGGUUGAAGGUUGGGUAACACUAACUGGAGGACCGAACCGACUAAUGUUGAAAAAUUAGCGGAUGACUUGUGGCUGGGGGUGAAAGGCCAAUCAAACCGGGAGAUAGCUGGUUCUCCCCGAAAGCUAUUUAGGUAGCGCCUCGUGAAUUCAUCUCCGGGGGUAGAGCACUGUUUCGGCAAGGGGGUCAUCCCGACUUACCAACCCGAUGCAAACUGCGAAUACCGGAGAAUGUUAUCACGGGAGACACACGGCGGGUGCUAACGUCCGUCGUGAAGAGGGAAACAACCCAGACCGCCAGCUAAGGUCCCAAAGUCAUGGUUAAGUGGGAAACGAUGUGGGAAGGCCCAGACAGCCAGGAUGUUGGCUUAGAAGCAGCCAUCAUUUAAAGAAAGCGUAAUAGCUCACUGGUCGAGUCGGCCUGCGCGGAAGAUGUAACGGGGCUAAACCAUGCACCGAAGCUGCGGCAGCGACGCUUAUGCGUUGUUGGGUAGGGGAGCGUUCUGUAAGCCUGUGAAGGUGUACUGUGAGGUAUGCUGGAGGUAUCAGAAGUGCGAAUGCUGACAUAAGUAACGAUAAAGCGGGUGAAAAGCCCGCUCGCCGGAAGACCAAGGGUUCCUGUCCAACGUUAAUCGGGGCAGGGUGAGUCGACCCCUAAGGCGAGGCCGAAAGGCGUAGUCGAUGGGAAACAGGUUAAUAUUCCUGUACUUGGUGUUACUGCGAAGGGGGGACGGAGAAGGCUAUGUUGGCCGGGCGACGGUUGUCCCGGUUUAAGCGUGUAGGCUGGUUUUCCAGGCAAAUCCGGAAAAUCAAGGCUGAGGCGUGAUGACGAGGCACUACGGUGCUGAAGCAACAAAUGCCCUGCUUCCAGGAAAAGCCUCUAAGCAUCAGGUAACAUCAAAUCGUACCCCAAACCGACACAGGUGGUCAGGUAGAGAAUACCAAGGCGCUUGAGAGAACUCGGGUGAAGGAACUAGGCAAAAUGGUGCCGUAACUUCGGGAGAAGGCACGCUGAUAUGUAGGUGAAGCGACUUGCUCGUGGAGCUGAAAUCAGUCGAAGAUACCAGCUGGCUGCAACUGUUUAUUAAAAACACAGCACUGUGCAAACACGAAAGUGGACGUAUACGGUGUGACGCCUGCCCGGUGCCGGAAGGUUAAUUGAUGGGGUUAGCGGUAACGCGAAGCUCUUGAUCGAAGCCCCGGUAAACGGCGGCCGUAACUAUAACGGUCCUAAGGUAGCGAAAUUCCUUGUCGGGUAAGUUCCGACCUGCACGAAUGGCGUAAUGAUGGCCAGGCUGUCUCCACCCGAGACUCAGUGAAAUUGAACUCGCUGUGAAGAUGCAGUGUACCCGCGGCAAGACGGAAAGACCCCGUGAACCUUUACUAUAGCUUGACACUGAACAUUGAGCCUUGAUGUGUAGGAUAGGUGGGAGGCUUUGAAGUGUGGACGCCAGUCUGCAUGGAGCCGGCCUUGAAAUACCACCCUUUAAUGUUUGAUGUUCUAACGUUGGCCCCUGAUCGGGGUUGCGGACAGUGUCUGGUGGGUAGUUUGACUGGGGCGGUCUCCUCCUAAAGAGUAACGGAGGAGCACGAAGGUUGGCUAAUCCUGGUCGGACAUCAGGAGGUUAGUGCAAUGGCAUAAGCCAGCUUGACUGCGAGCGUGACGGCGCGAGCAGGUGCGAAAGCAGGUCAUAGUGAUCCGGUGGUUCUGAAUGGAAGGGCCAUCGCUCAACGGAUAAAAGGUACUCCGGGGAUAACAGGCUGAUACCGCCCAAGAGUUCAUAUCGACGGCGGUGUUUGGCACCUCGAUGUCGGCUCAUCACAUCCUGGGGCUGAAGUAGGUCCCAAGGGUAUGGCUGUUCGCCAUUUAAAGUGGUACGCGAGCUGGGUUUAGAACGUCGUGAGACAGUUCGGUCCCUAUCUGCCGUGGGCGCUGGAGAACUGAGGGGGGCUGCUCCUAGUACGAGAGGACCGGAGUGGACGCAUCACUGGUGUUCGGGUUGUCAUGCCAAUGGCACUGCCCGGUAGCUAAAUGCGGAAGAGAUAAGUGCUGAAAGCAUCUAAGCACGAAACUUGCCCCGAGAUGAGUUCUCCCUGAGACUUUAAGUCUCCUGAAGGAACGUUGAAGACGACGACGUUGAUAGGC